AGAUAUGGACCACUGGCCAUGAAGAAGGCCCAGCGGUAAUGGACUCCUUGCCAGAAAUGCUAGAAGGAAGAAAAUAGUCAUGGUCCUCAUCGUGUGGCCCAGGCUGCGCUCAACAGCCGUGUCUUUAUGAGAGGUGAGUAGGACAUUAU